AUAACUCUAACUUAUCACGUUAUUUCGUGUACCUCAGUGCUGCAUCUACUUUUGCGUGCAGGGAUUUGUGUUUAUGUUUAAACUUUGUGCAUAGGCUUUGUUGACCACUGCUAUCAUGAUGAGUAACAGGCUAUAUAAAAUAUGUUUUGGAAACUUCUACACCCUAACAAGGAUGAAGGCCACUCAAUUAUAUCAACGUUAUUGGCAGAGACACACAAUAUGAAUAUGAAGACUUGUUGAAGAUUGGAACCAGGACUUGUGACCUGCUAGAUUUUUCAACUGAAAUCCAAUAGUGGGGCAGGAUUACCAAAGAAGAGAAGAAAAAGAAAAUAAUAAUAAUAAUAAUAAUAA